UAGGGAAUCUUCCGCAAUGGACGCAAGUCUGACGGAGCAACGCCGCGUGAGUGAAGAAGGAUUUCGGUUCGUAAAACUCUGUUGUUAGAGAAGAACAGCGCAUAGAGUAACUGUUAUGCGUGUGACGGUAUCUAACCAGAAAGCCACGGCUAACUACGUGCCAGCAGCCGCGGUAAUACGUAGGUGGCAAGCGUUGUCCGGAUUUAUUGGGCGUAAAGCGAGCGCAGGCGGUCAAUUAAGUCUGAUGUGAAAGCCCCCGGCUCAACCGUGGAGGGUCAUUGGAAACUGGUUGACUUGAGUGCAGAAGAGGAGAGUGGAAUUCCAUGUGUAGCGGUGAAAUGCGUAGAUAUAUGGAGGAACACCGGUGGCGAAAGCGGCUCUCUGGUCUGUAACUGACGCUGAGGCUCGAAAGCGUGGGGAGCGAACAGG
rnacentral:rRNA from 1 species